rnacentral:rRNA from 1 species
UACGGGGGGGGCAAGCGUUGUUCGGAAUUACUGGGCGUAAAGCGUGCGCAGGCGGUGAUGUAAGACAGUUGUGAAAUCCCCGGGCUCAACCUGGGAACUGCAUCUGUGACUGCAUCGCUGGAGUGCGGCAGAGGGGGAUGGAAUUCCGCGUGUAGCAGUGAAAUGCGUAGAUAUGCGGAGGAACACCGAUGGCGAAGGCAAUCCCCUGGGCCUGCACUGACGCUCAUGCACGAAAGCGUGGGGAGCAAGCAGG